rnacentral:rRNA from 2 species
GACGGAGGAGGCAAGCGUUAUCCGGAAUUAUUGGGCGUAAAGCGUCCGCAGGCGGCUUAUUAAGUCUGUUGUUAAAGGCCACAGCUCAACUGUGGAUUGGCAAUGGAAACUGGAAAGCUAGAGUGCGGUAGGGGUAGAGGGAAUUCCCGGUGUAGCGGUGAAAUGCGUAGAUAUCGGGAAGAACACCAGUGGCGAAGGCGCUCUACUGGGCCGCAACUGACGCUGAGGGACGAAAGCUAGGGGAGCGAAAGGG